CUCUGCUCCUCUUCCUUUGCUUCAAAAAAAUGUCAUCUUCAACGUCUCCUUCCUUUUCCCAUUAACAAUCUUUUCAUACUGCGCUGUGCAAUCUCCACAAAAUAAAUACAGACUUCACUAUCUAUCUUUAGCUUAAGCCAUGUCCGCCCUAUCGAGAGGCCUCAUUUCUGGCUUCCACCAGCUUCUUUCACUCAGUACUAAAACGACAUCGCCAACAGCAACACCAGCACCAUUCUACUUGCUUAGGAGGUUUAGCACCGACUCUUUAAUCGAUGGAUUCGAGAUCCAAAACCAAGGGGCUCGGAUCAUUGAAGCAAAGCCCGGCAUCAUGACCCCUAAUUCUAAGCGAACUGGAGUUAUUGCUCUCAAGUGUGGAAUGACUGCUCUUUGGGAUAAAUGGGGCCAGAGGGUUCCCAUCACUGUGCUUCGGGUAGACGAUAACAUCGUUACUCAGGUCAAGACUGUUGAGAAGGAAGGCCAUUUUGCCUUACAGAUUGGUUAUGGGUCGAAGAAGGCAAAACAUUUGACAAAGCCUGAAAUGGGUCAUUUCAGAGCUCAUGGUGUUCCAUUGAAGAGGAAAUUGAGGGAGUUCCCUGUGACAGAAGAUGCACUUCUCCCUCUUGGUACUUCCAUUGGCGUUCGCCAUUUUGUUCCUGGUCAAUUCGUUGAUGUCACGGGAAUUACCAGAGGAAAAGGGUUUCAGGGUGGAAUGAAAAGACAUGGUUUUAAAGGAAUGCCAGCAAGUCAUGGUGCAUCAUUGUCACAUCGAAGUAUUGGUUCUACUGGUCAAAGGGAUGCUCCUGGUAAGGUAUUUAAAGGCAAAAAGAUGCCUGGGCGCAUGGGUGGGAAUCAGGUAACAGUUAAAAAUGUAUGGGUCUACAAAAUACAUCCGGCAAGGAACUUGAUGUGGGUGAGAGGCCAGGUUCCUGGUGCUGAAGGAAACUUUGUGUUUAUAAAAGAUGCUGUUUAUAAGAAGCCUGAUAUUUCAUCACUUCCAUUCCCUACCUACCUUGCAGCAGAAGAUGAGGAUAUAUCAGAACCUAUAAUUGCUGAACUUGGAGAUAUAGAUCCAUUUAUGGCUGCGGAUUAAUUGAUUAGGCUUAAUUGCAUUGCAAUCGUUACUUUUUACAUUGAAUACAGGUGGCAUGACAGGGUGUCUUCUGAGCAAUAUGUUGAGGCUUUCAAU
rnacentral:misc_RNA from 1 species